rnacentral:rRNA from 1 species
UACCAGCACCCCGAGUGGUCGGGACGAUUAUUGGGCCUAAAGCAUCCGUAGCCGGUUUUACAAGUCCUCCGUUAAAUCCAGCUGCUUAACAGAUGGGCUGCGGAGGAUACUAUAAGACUAGGAGGCAGGAGAGGCAAGCGGUACUCAGUGGGUAGGGGUAAAAUCCGUUGAUCCAUUGAAGACCACCAGUGGCGAAGGCGGCUUGCCAGAAUGCGCUCGACGGUGAGGGAUGAAAGCUGGGGGAGGCAAACCGG